rnacentral:misc_RNA from 1 species
GAUGAAGAACGUAGUGAAAUGCGAUAAGUAAUGUGAAUUGCAGAAUUCAGUGAAUCAUCGAAUCUUUGAACGCACAUUGCGCCCGUCAGUAUUCUGGCGGGCAUGCCUGUUCGAGCGUCAUUACGCCCCUCAAGUCCCCUGUGGACUUGGUGUUGGGGAUCGGCGAGGCUGGUUUUCCAGCACAGCCGUCCCUUAAAUUAAUUGGCGGUCUCGCCGUGGCCCUCCUCUGCGCAGUAGUAAAACACUCGCAACAGGAGCCCGGCGCGGUCCACUGCCGUAAACCCCCCCAACUUUUUAUAGUUGACCUCGAAUCAGGUAGGACUACCCGCUGAACUUAAGCAUAUCAAUAAGCGGAGGA